UACGAAGGGUGCUAGCGUUGUUCGGAAUCACUGGGCGUAAAGCGCGCGUAGGCGGCUUUGCAAGUCAGGGGUGAAAUCCCACAGCUUAACUGUGGAAUUGCCUUUGAAACUGCAAAGCUAGAGUGUCGGAGGGGAUAGCGGAAUUGCUAAUGUAGAGGUGAAAUUCGUAGAUAUUAGCAGGAACACCGGUGGCGAAGGCGGCUAUCUGGACGACAACUGACGCUGAGGCGCGAAAGUGUGGGGAUCAAACAGG
rnacentral:rRNA from 1 species